UGUCUUCAGGGCAGGGUGCAAGUCCCUACCGGUGGUUACAGCCCACGAGCUGCUGCCGAUGAUAUCGGCAGAGCAGAUUCGGUGUGAUUCCGAAGCCGACAGUUACAGUCUGGACGAAAGAGGACA
rnacentral:ncRNA from 1 species